CCGGAACACUCCUCUGUUCCUCACUGCUGCAUACUCCUCCAUGAGCGCCCCUGCCUCUCUCUCCCUCUCCCUCUCCCUCUGUCGGUCUCUCUUUCUCCUCUCUUUCCCCUCCCACCUCGCUACACACAGGCACACACAUGCAUGCACACACACACACACGCAUGCAGCCUGACCCAUUCCUUCUCUCUCUCUCGCUCUGUGUCUCUCUCCUCGCGCGCACCGACUAGCUUUUCUCUCAGAGAUCUACAUCGGGAACGGAGCUUUAUGCUCCCUUCUUGUUUUCUCUUCUUCUAUUACAACCCUCCUGGCAUUUGUGAACUCUCUACUACUACUGCUGUUGCUGCUGCUGCACGGAAAAGACCCGACCUGCUUCAGUCUUCAGCUCCAGGGAUCCCCCUCCAAUCACAGGCCCCAGGAUCUCGCCUGCCUGCCUGCCCGCAUGCCUGUGUAGAAGCCAUACAUCUCUCCAUUUUUUACUUUCUCUCUCUCCUUAUUUUGUGCCCGCUUCUUUUCUUUGCCUCCCGUGCGCCAUCUGAAGGGUAUUCCCUCUGUCCCCGACGAGACUCUCUUUUCACGUGACGAGCCCCCCACGCUGGACGAGGAAGAGGAAGGAAGAGGAAGGACGGCCAAGGCAAGCAUGCUUCGGGAUAGACAGAGAAAGCGCAAGAGAGGGAGAGAGAGUGAGGGGGAGAAUGAAUAAGACUCAAAAUGGACAGAGAGAGAAAGAGAGAGAGAAGAGAACAGAACAUAGAGAAGGAGAGCUGAAGAAGGGGUAAAUGAGGUGAUGACUGAACCUUCAGGCGAGGAGGACUGAGACGAGGGGUCUAAUCCCCUGCACCCCACGCUGGCAAAUUCAUCAGUUGGGCUGUUGCAAUGAGCACAUUCUGUCGGCACUCUUUACGGAGUCUAUGGUCCACCAUGAGCACUAGGAAGUUCGGUACUCUCACAUUUAUUCUUCAUGACCUCUGAAGAUGCAGAGUUCGACCCAGUCGGACAGCAGCCAUUUUGAAAGGGCCAGCCAUUUUGGAAUUCCUUGCGUUCGAGGUGCGGGGCACUCCACUGUUUUGGCGAGGGACAUGGUAAGAGGAAAACAGAUGUGGGGUGUCUCAAUCUGAAUCGUCAGAUUUUCUUUUCACCUCCUCCGUCAGUGUCAUUUCCUAAUCGUCUUUGAAACAGUUGUACAGGUGCUCGAGGUGGUCAGGCAACUAAGUUAGAGAGAUAUGAAGGAUUACUUACCUACCAUGAAUAUGUACACACUAAAACAUUAAAUAAAUUCACAUUUGCUGUUGUAUGCACACAUAUACUCACACCAUAGCACAUUAUAGACACCCAGUUACCAUUCCAGUAUGGUAAGAACCUCCUUCUCUGCCAUAGGAGAAUAUAAUGACUCAUGGCGGAAGAGGACAUAUUCUCUAAACCCUGAGGAAACUCAUAUCUGCUCUGAUAAGUUAAUACAUUUAGCUAAUAAUGUGUAAACUAAGUGAGUCAACGUACAAUUAGUGAGAAGUGAGAUGUACAUAUCACUAUGUGCGGCAAUAUGCAAUGACAAAUGCUAAAAGGUGACAUAAAGCACUGAAUAAUUCAAAUGACUUAAUCUUCCAAUCAUUCUACUGACUGAAAUGUGAGUAGAACUACAACUUCCAGCAUGCCUCUUUGUCCCUGAGACCCUUAACCUGUGAUGUCAUGUAAGGUCACAGGUGAGGUCCUUGGGAACAAGGCCACAUGCAUUUUGGCAGCAACCUUCAGAGAUGAAGGACAAAUAAGAACCCUGGUCCAAAAAUCCAUUUGGCUGCAGCUUAUCUCAUGUAGAUCAGCACCAUAGUUAGAGAAGGCUGAAACUCAGGAGGCUCCCAUAUAGGGAGUUGUCAUUAGGGACAGGCCGUACUGUCCGACUUCUUACUCUGACCAAAAAGAAGGCGGUCUAAGGUUGUGACCCCUAUUUCUUUCUGCGUGAGACUAUUGAAACUCUUGAGAAGUGAGAUGCAGCCUGGUCAGGCAAUAAGAGAUAUGAAAGAGGCUAUAGAGUCAUGAAAUCAGCAGUGAUACGCAUCUUAAAGAAGAUUCCUACUGUACUAUAUAUGUUCUGCAUUAUGUGCUUAUGCUUGUGUGUGUGUUAUGCUGCUAUGAAUUUAUCACAGUGAAUUUAUAAGAAUAGAUGUAUCAAACAAACAAUAAAAGCGGAUUCCCUCUAAAAAAAA